GAUGAACGCUGGCGGCGUGCCUAAUACAUGCAAGUCGAGCGAACAGAUGAGGAGCUUGCUCCUCUGACGUUAGCGGCGGACGGGUGAGUAACACGUGGAUAACCUACCUAUAAGACUGGGAUAACUUCGGGAAACCGGAGCUAAUACCGGAUAAUAUAUUGAACCGCAUGGUUCAAUAGUGAAAGACGGUUUUGCUGUCACUUAUAGAUGGAUCCGCGCCGCAUUAGCUAGUUGGUAAGGUAACGGCUUACCAAGGCAACGAUGCGUAGCCGACCUGAGAGGGUGAUCGGCCCCACUGGGACUGAGACACGGUCCAGAAUCCUACGGGAGGCAGCAGUAGGGAAUCUUCCGCAAUGGGCGAAAGCCUGACGGAGCAACGCCGCGUGAGUGAUGAAGGUCUUCGGAUCGUAAAACUCUGUUAUUAGGGAAGAACAAAUGUGUAAGUAACUAUGCACGUCUUGACGGUACCUAAUCAGAAAGCCACGGCUAACUACGUG
rnacentral:rRNA from 1 species